UUUCCGUAGGUGAACCUGCGGAAGGAUCAUUCAUAAUAAAGUGUUUUAUGGCAACUUUUAAAAAUCCAUAUCCACCUUGUGUGCAAUGUUUGAUACCGUCAAUCUUGGCGAGAUUUUUAUACAUCAACUCAUUCUUUAACUAAUUUGUCUGAAAAAUAUUAUGAAUACUUAAUUCAAAAUACAACUUUCAACAACGGAUCUCUUGGCUCUC
rnacentral:misc_RNA from 1 species